rnacentral:lncRNA from 1 species
CUCGCACUUUUACUUUCAAUAUCGACAAAUGAUCGACCUACCUUGGAGCAUUUGCUCCAAUUUCUUUCUGUCAACACGAAAUCUCUCCUCGAUAUAUCCAGGUUCAAGUUCAUCUUUAAUAUCCUGAUUGUUUUCAUCACAUAUAUCCGUUGGAGACUCGUUAAUACUUCUUGAAUCCUUCAUGUUAUCCGAGCACAACGAUAAGUGAUCUGCCAUUGCAUCUCUGCUGUUG